GACGAACGCUGGCGGCGUGCUUAACACAUGCAAGUCGAACGGAAGGGCCCUGCUUUUGUGGGGUGCUCGAGUGGCGAACGGGUGAGUAACACGUGAGUAACCUGCCCUUGACUUUGGGAUAACUUCAGGAAAUUGGGGCUAAUACCGGAUAGGAGCUCCUGCUGCAUGGUGGGGGUUGGAAAGUUUCGGCGGUUGGGGAUGGACUCGCGGCUUAUCAGCUUGUUGGUGGGGUAGUGGCUUACCAAGGCUUUGACGGGUAGCCGGCCUGAGAGGGUGACCGGCCACAUUGGGACUGAGAUACGGCCCAGACUCCUACGGGAGGCAGCAGUGGGGAAUAUUGCACAAUGGGCGGAAGCCUGAUGCAGCAACGCCGCGUGCGGGAUGACGGCCUUCGGGUUGUAAACCGCUUUCGCCUGUGACGAAGCGUGAGUGACGGUAAUGGGUAAAGAAGCACCGGCUAACUACGUG
rnacentral:rRNA from 1 species